GAUGAACGCUGGCGGCGUGCCUAAUACAUGCAAGUCGAGCGAACGGACGAGAAGCUUGCUUCUCUGAUGUUAGCGGCGGACGGGUGAGUAACACGUGGAUAACCUACCUAUAAGACUGGGAUAACUUCGGGAAACCGGAGCUAAUACCGGAUAAUAUUUUGAACCGCAUGGUUCAAAAGUGAAAGACGGUCUUGCUGUCACUUAUAGAUGGAUCCGCGCUGCAUUAGCUAGUUGGUAAGGUAACGGCUUACCAAGGCAACGAUGCAUAGCCGACCUGAGAGGGGUACGGGCCCACGUGGAAAGGGAACCCCGGUCAAGACCCCGAGGGGGGGAAGAAGUGGGGAUUUUGCCAAAGGGGGAAAAAGCCUAGCGGACAACGGCGGGGGGGGAGAAGAGGGUUUCGGAUGAGAAAACCUUUUUAAUUGGGGAAAAACAUUUGUAUAGGAAAGUGUACACAUUUAACGGGUCCUAAAACAAAAGGCCGGGUCAAUCACGG
rnacentral:rRNA from 1 species